GCGGGUGUGGCGGAAUUGGCAGACGCGCGGGACUUAGGAUCCCGUGGCCGCAAGGCCGUGUGGGUUCAACUCCCACCACCCGCACUA
rnacentral:tRNA from 1 species